CCCCCGUCACCGGUUCCACCCAACCGCCGGGUCCCCGCCGCCUUGGCGAAGUGUCGGACUGUCGCGAGCCCUCAAGGAGCGCGCUGCUCGCCCAGGCCCCCCGCCAGGUCUCGCGUCCCCGAGUCCCCGAGUCCCCGAAUCCACUGUGGCUAUGGCCAGUGAGGAGCUCGCAAGCAAGCUGCAGCGGCGACUGCAGUGGGAGGAGGCGGAGGACGGCGGUGUCCAGCCUGCGCCCCGCGCCGCCUCCGUCCCCGAGUCCCAGCCGCAGCCACUUGCCCGGGUGCCCACCGCCAGAGCCGACGCCGAGUUGAGCGCGCAGCUGAACCGACGGUUGGACAUCAACGAGGGCGCGGCGCGGCCCCGCCGCUGCAAGGUCUUCCACCCCUACUCCGAGUUCCCGGAGUUUAGCCGCCGCCUCAUCAAGGACCUGGAGAGCAUGUUCAGACUCUACGACUCGGGAAGGGAUGGCUUCAUCGACCUGAUGGAGCUGAAGCUGAUGAUGGAGAAGCUGGGGGCCCCCCAGACCCACCUGGGCCUGAAGAGCAUGAUCAAGGAGGUGGAUGAGGACUUUGAUGGCAAACUCAGCUUCCGUGAGUUUCUGCUCAUAUUCCACAAGGCCGCUGCAGGGGAGCUGCAGGAGGACAGCGGGCUGAUGGCCCUGGCCAAGCUUUCUGAGAUCGAUGUUGCCCUGGAGGGCGUCAAAGGUGCCAAGGACUUUUUUGAAGCCAAGGUACAAGCCUUGUCCUCUGCCAGUAAGUUUGAAGCUGAGUUAAAAGCGGAGCAAGAUGAGCGGAAGCGCGUGGAGGAGAAGAGGAGGCUUCGCCAGGCAGCCUUCCGGGAACUCAAGGCCGCUUUCAGUACUUAGGAUGGCAAAUGGGCAGGAAAAUGCUGGAUGAAAACCUGUGGAAAAGUUCUACUGUGGAAAAUCAGCCCGUAAAAGAGCUUUCUGAACUGCCAACGGGCUCUGGAUUGGGCGCACAGGACGGUGGUAACCAGCGACUCCAUCUCGCUCCCUUCCGCGGCUCCGCUCCGUGCCCCAGCUCUGCAGCCCCGCCUGGGCCUCCUGGGCCUGCCGCCCGCGCUCUCGUCCCCGCCGCUCCUGCCCGACCCAGCCCAGCCGCAUGGACACCCACAGGCCGCCCGGCAGCCGCCGCGGCCGGCUCGGGCGUCAGGCGAGGGGACAGGUCAGGUGCGGGGCUGGAGGGAGCCUCCUCCCCGCCGGGGGGCAUGCCGGACCCGGGCGCGUCUCGGCCGCCGAGCUGGAGAGCCCCCUCCGCCGGGGCCUGUUGGCAUCGCAGGGGCAGGCGAGGAAGGGAAGAGGGUGGUGGGGUGGGCAGUGUCAGGCCGGCUUGCUUAGGGCCAGAGGGCUCGCCUUCCGCUACCUGCUUCUAGCCACCCGCCCAGCCUCGGGGUGCCCGGGGUAACAGCUGCUUCUGCUAGACAGCUGCUCCUGCCCGCGCUCCUCCCAACACCUGGCCUCUGGGAGAUGCGCCCUUGCCUUCCUCACCGAGCAUCUGCAUUGGGGACUCCUUCCGUGGCGAGAGGACUGGGUCUGAAACAGGCCUGAAGCCAGGUGGAGCCAUGAUCAGAACCUGGGACGGAGGCUGGGAAAGUAGAACCCAUGGCAGCUUUGGGACCCGAACGUUCACAUCGGUUUAAAAUGGGCAUUAGCCUUAAGUGUCAGCAGUUAUCCACGAAGCACUCAGAAUAUUUCAGUUUUGUGGCUGAAACAUAAACCAAACAGCCAGGGAAGGGGGUAUGAAAGCAGGUUGUAUGACCGUGUUUGGGAAGCAGUAACGUUGCUUUGCAUUUAUCUGGCAUUGUUUUUUGUUUGUUUUGUUUUCAAAUCCUUUGACUGAAAGCCCUUAAGCACGCCUAAUUUCUCUGUAACAAAGGUAAGUAUUUCAGUUUAACUUGCAGGACAUUGAGGAAGAGGCCAGAAACGUGGACAGUUUCUUAUCCAGUGUACUUACCUUGGACUGACUAUAGGCAGUUUUGAUUCCCAAUGUGUAUGCGGGGAAGAUAUUUUUUCCUUACAUAUUAUUUCCUUUUUAGAGUCUAAUGAUUUCCUAGAUUUAAAAAAAUUGUCAUCUUUUCUGAACAUCGACUUUUCCUUCUAAUAUUUGCAACUCUGGCCUUUCAGAGUUUUGUCUAUUUUGAUGAGAACGCAAAUAUGUUCUCUCAUUCAUUGAUGUUUUUAUGUGUUCCUCUAGUUAGCAGCUUUCAGAGUACUCAAGCUGGAAUAUGUACUUGUCUGUUACAUCAAAUGUUGACAUCAGUAGAGGACACUAGGAAAAAAAAAUUAAAAGUGGCUUGUAUCUAGAAAAAUGUCAGUCCUUUUGGCAUUUAAUACUGGGGAAUACACUGGUGAUGGUAGUAACUCGCUAGAAAAGAAAGGGCUUCACAGUUUUUCUGUACUUGACAAAGCAUUUUAGGAUUUUGAGACCCAGGAAGGAGAAGGUAUAUGUGCUUCCAUUCAUUUAUUCUUUCAUUUGUGCAUUUAUUUAUUUGAAAAAUACUGAGACCCUACUACACUGUUGGAUGCUGGGAGCCAAAUAGUCCUGUUUCCAUGGAGCUCAUUUCUAGACAGCUAAAUAAAUACUUAGAUUUUAGUGGGACCGGUGUCAUUAGGUUGAAUCUACAGCCUAUGUUGGUGUUAAUCCAGUUAUAUUAGAGUGUUAAAGGACCUGAACAAAAUCUGCUCAAACCUCCUGCUG